rnacentral:rRNA from 1 species
UACGUAGGGUGCGAGCGUUGUCCGGAAUUACUGGGCGUAAAGAGCUCGUAGGUGGUUUGUCGCGUUGUCCGUGAAAACUCACAACUCAAUUGUGGGCGUGCGGGCGAUACGGGCAGACUGGAGUACUGCAGGGGAGACUGGAAUUCCUGGUGUAGCGGUGGAAUGCGCAGAUAUCAGGAGGAACACCGAUGGCGAAGGCAGUGGUCUGGGCCGAUACUGACGCUGAGAAGCGAAAGCAUGGGGAGCGAACAGG